rnacentral:lncRNA from 1 species
UCUUCAGAUUAGAUGACCAAUGAUUACAACUCUUAGAAAUGAGUGGAUUGGAAAAGGGGAUUGAAUUACUCCUUCUGUGAAGACUAGGGAAGUAGAUGUAAAGGAAGUUUGGGAGCUGGUAAUCAACAUGGAAACAUGUAUCAAGCCAUCAAAUAUUCCACAGACUGGUCUCCUAUCUUUCAUUCUAUUUUAAUUCUGGAUAAACUAUGAAGAGGGUUCUCCCUACUCACUUCCUCCAAUUCCCAAAGUUUUUAGAACAACAGGUCAGCGUGUUCCAUUAGAGCAUAAAAUAUCACCAUUUUCAUGCUACCAUGAAGCUCUGCAUUGGAACAAACUGGAAUAAUUCAGAUAUCCCUCAAGAUUCCCGGUCCCUGUACAAAAACAGAUUCUUCCACUUACUCAACCAAACACUGAUCUAGGUACAGAUGGAAAGCUAUGUUGCUGCUGUAACUAAGAAUCUUAAUCAGUUUACUUUAAAAUAGAGAGCUAUCCAGUGGACCUGACCUUAUAACCUGAGCCCUCUAAAAGGAGGAUAGUAUUUUUGGCCGUUUUCAGAAAAGGAAGUCAAAGCUUUAAAGAGAUGGAUUCAACGUACAAAAAUUUCUCUAUUGUUGGCUCUCAAGAAGGAGGGAGCUGCAUGAUAAGGAACACAGAACAUCUUUGGGAGCUGAGAGAAGCCCUUAGCUAAAAGCCAGCCAGGGAAGGGGCUCUCAAUCCUGUGACUGCAAGGAACUAAAUUCUACCACAACCACGUGAACCUGAAAGAGGACCCUGAGUUACACAAGAAAAUGUUGACUGACAAGUUGACUUCAGCUUGUGAGAAUAAGUAGAAAACCUAGGCACAACACGCCUGGACUUCUGACCUAUAGAACUAUGAGCUAAUAAAUGGGUAUUGUUUUAAGCCACUAAGUUUGUGAUAAUUUGUUACACAGCAAUAGAAGACCAAUACAAACCUCCCCCUACAAAAUGAGCAAUCACUACUUACCCAGCCUCUGCUUACAUACAUAGAGCAAGGGAAACUCAACAUCUCAAGGGUAGUUUAUUUUAAAAUUCAUUUUCAGAUAGCUCUAUUAGUUUGUAUAGCCUGCAUUAUUUUGAACUGAUAUUUACUUUCCUAUAAAUCUCAGCUCUGCACUGAAAACCCACUCCAAAGAGGCCUAAUCUACUUUCA